CAGCCGUAAACAAUGUGCGUUAGGUAUGUCGGUAACCACGUGUUACUGAUGUGCCGAAGAGAAAUCGUGAAACGCACCACCUGGGAAGUACGGUCGCAAGGCUGAAACUUAAAGGAAUUGGCGGGGGGAGCACCACAACAGGUGGAGCCUGCGGUUUAAUUGGAUUCAACGCCGGACAUCUCACCGGAUAAGACAGCUGAAUGAAAGCCGAGUUGAAGACUCUGCUAGAUUUUCAGAGAGGAGGUGCAUGGCGUCAGUGACU
rnacentral:rRNA from 1 species